GACGAACGCUGGCGGCGUGCUUAACACAUGCAAGUCGAGCGAUGAAGUUCCUUCGGGAAUGGAUUAGCGGCGGACGGGUGAGUAACACGUGGGUAACCUGCCUCAUAGAGGGGAAUAGCCUUUCGAAAGGAAGAUUAAUACCGCAUAAGAUUGUAGCUUCGCAUGAAGUAGCAAUUAAAGGAGUAAUCCGCUAUGAGAUGGACCCGCGUCGCAUUAGCUAGUUGGCGAGGUAACGGCUCACCAAGGCGACGAUGCGUAGCCGACCUGAGAGGGUGAUCGGCCACAUUGGGACUGAGACACGGCCCAGACUCCUACGGGAGGCAGCAGUGGGGAAUAUUGCACAAUGGGGGAAACCCUGAUGCAGCAACGCCGCGUGAGUGAUGACGGUCUUCGGAUUGUAAAGCUCUGUCUUCAGGGACGAUAAUGACGGUACCUGAGGAGGAAGCCACGGCUAACUACGUGCCAGCCGCCGCAGUAA
rnacentral:rRNA from 1 species